ensembl:snoRNA SNORD58 Small nucleolar RNA SNORD58
UGGCUGUGAUGACUUCUUAGGACACCUUUGGAUUCACCAUGAAAACAAAUCAAUGAAAUCUGAGCUUC